rnacentral:misc_RNA from 1 species
UGAUUUUAUUAAUUUUAACUUAAUAUAGUUCAUUAAUAAUAAAACAGGAAUGAAUUGACGCCUAAAAUAAGCUUGGAAUUGUUUAGUUGCAUCGUGACAAACGCUAGCAUUUGGGUCCUAGUGCACGAGACUUCGCAAAUGAUACAAUUGAUGAAUUACUGGGCCUCAUGCAUUAGUAGCUGCAGGAUCAUGAUCAGCUGUGGCAUUGAUAAUCUUAGUGGUUGAGACCCUGAGAGAUGCAGAGUCGUCGCAUUUUGUUCGUUGGAGGUUGGGGGCACGGUGAAGCCUGCACCUGAAAGAACCAGCAUGGGAAGUUGGAGAG